rnacentral:RNase_P_RNA from 1 species
CCAGUCGGCCGGGCGGCCGCUGGCGGCGGAGCGCGCAAGUGUGCCGCUGCUGGAGGAAAGUCCGGGCUCCAAGGAAACACGGUGGCGGCUAACGGCCGCCGGGGGUGACCCCAGGGAAAGUGCCACAGAAAGCAAACCGCCUAAGAUCGCGCGUAAGCGCGACGGGUAAGGGUGAAAGGGNNNNNNCGGUAAGAGCGCACCGCGCGCCUGGUGACAGGCGUGGCAGGGUAAACCCCACCGGGAGCAAGACCAAAUAGGGGUGGCCGGGCGUGUGUGGUUAACUGCAUGACGCCAAGCCCGUUUCCUGGCCAGUCACCCGGGUUGGUUGCAAGAGGCGGCGUGCGAGCGUCGUCCCAGAUGAAUGGUCGCCCUGGAGGCAACUCCAGACAGAACCCGGCUUACAGGCCGACUGGUUAU